rnacentral:rRNA from 1 species
AAAAAGAGAUGCCAACAACGCACGACCUAUCGCCCACUCCUCACGCCCGCACGACCUAUCGCCUCCUCCUCCUCCUCCCAACGGAAGUCACAGCACGGAAGGGCAGCCGCGGGAGCCACCGACCGACGGAGCCACCCUUCGCCGUAGGUCGCCGCAGGAGCCGUCGCGCUCUUAGCCGCGGGACGCCGCCCUUCGCCGCAGGUCGCCGCGGGAGACGCCGCCGCGACGCCGCGGGAGCCGCCGACGGAGCCGCCCGCCGCGCCCUUCGAGCCGCAGGUCGCCGUUCCUCUUCUGCUUCCCGGCGGCCAAAUGUGAGCGUACAACCAAGAGCAUGUGGCAGAGGAGCGGAGGCAUGGGACGCAACAUGGGGCAGAGGAGCAAUGGCGUGAUGGUUGCGCAGAGGGAAUGUUCGUGAGGACGAAACGGUAUGAAGCAGUAACUCUACUAGAGAGCAUCAUGGAUAUGGAGGUGGAGCACCCAUGCUUUUCAUAGAUAUAGAUACUGAUAUUGCCAGGUUCCGGUGAAGGGUAAUCAUUGUCAUAUGUGUAUUCUGGAAGUUGAAACGAUUAAAUACAUACCCCUGAGGAUUUGGAUGAACAGUAUGUCAAUGUCAACCUAGAUGAUGGUGACUUCUUCUACGCCGAGCAUCGUCAUCAAGGAAUCUGCACUUUCCCAUAUAUAUACCACGAGGUACUCCUGAAGUUGCAAGAAAAAUACUACAGAAAAGCUUGUGAACUUUUGGAGGAUGUUUUGAAGACUAACAAUUGAAGAUUUACUACAUUUAAGCACCCUGGUUAAACCCAUGUAUGCCUUUUAGUUUUUCGGGCAAAACCUAAGUAUGCCUUAACAAGGAGAUUUGUAAAUUUGUAUAUUCUUUCUUGUGUACAAGGUAUUGGACCGAUGUAUGCUUCUAUUCUUGUAUUUACUUCUUGCUUGGACACUUGAACUAAUGUAUGGGUGAUGUUUACUGACCAACUUUUAAUCUCCUUUGCAUGUAUUUCUAAGUUUGGAUAAUUUGUUGUUUUUGUUUUUAAUUUCUAAAAAUCCACUUAAUUUGCAAUGUUGCACAAAAAUUAUAUUUUGAGUAACUAAUAUUAGUAAUCAAAAUUACUUGUUCAAACCAGUUAUAGUGAGAGAGAAUAAGUAUCAUUUUGAGGGGCAAUUUUAUUUAACAACAGUUUCAUGUCCAUGCUAACAAAAAAAGAUCUUGCAACUCCAGCAACAUAGACCUAAAUAUAGUUCACUAGAUUUAUCUUUUCUAAAUGUUGAAUUGACCUCACCAUCUCAGUGUAAUAGUAGAUUUACAAUAUUUUUCAUAUUAUAUAAUUGUUGAUUGUGUGAGAUGGAAUUCCACUUGGCAGUGUUGGAGAAGGAUGCGUUGCUAGAAAAGAAGGGAGAGGGCGGGGCGACCAAACAAGAUAGGAGGAGAACCAGGCAAGAUAGUCAACUUCGAUGCGGUGCUUGAGCAGAGCCCAUGGAAUUCUUAUUAGAUCUAGAUGGGUCUCUUUAAUAAGUUGUGGUUAUCUGUAAUGGUGACCUGAAUGUCAUGUACAAACAUAUAUGAUUUAUUAUUAUUUUGACUGGAUAUGGUGUACCAACUCACAUGCAU